GGCCAUGAUGAUUAAUGCAUAUUCUGACACCUCUUGUAUGAGAGUUGCUUCUCUAUUUUGGAAGCUCUUCUUUGAGCACAUAGGCAACUCACUGAGCC
rnacentral:snoRNA from 1 species